rnacentral:lncRNA from 1 species
CUCGUCUCACAGAUCAGGUCUCGUCUCACAGAUCAGGUCUCGUCUCACAGAUCAGGUCUCGUCUCACAGAUCAGGUCUUGUCCAGGUCUCGUCUCACAGAUCAGGUCUCGUCUCACAGAUCAGGUCUCGUCUCACAGAUCAGGUCUCGUCUCACAGAUCAGGUCUCGUCUCACUGAUCAGGUCUCGUCCAGGUCUCGUCUCACAGAUCAGGUCUCGUCUCACAGAUCAGGUCUCGUCUCACUGAUCAGGUCUCGUCCAGGUCUCGUCUCACAGAUCAGGUCUCGUCUCACAGAUCAGGUCUCGUCUCACAGAUCAGGUCUUGUCUCACAGAUCAGGUCUCGUCUCACUGAUCAGGUCUCGUCUCACAGAUCAGGUCUUGUCUCACAGAUCAGGUCUCGUCUCACAGAUCAGGUCUCGUCCAGGUCUCGUCUCACAGAUCAGGUCUCGUCUCACAGAUCAGGUCUUGUCCAGGUCCUGUCUCACAGAUCAGGUCUCGUCCAGGUCUCGUCUCACAGAUCAGGUCUUGUCUCAUAGAUCAGGAUCAGAUCAUUGUAUUCACAGUUACAUCAGGAUUCUUCUGAUCCUCGUGGUUCAGGCUCCAGAUUCGCUGCUGAAUUCCUGCUCCGCGAUGAGCCACCGGGCCUCAGGUCCUCGGGCCGGACUCUGCCGAGUCCCGACUCGAGAGGCUUGCAGCCGGGCCUCAGAGCCUUGACCGCUGUGUCGACAAAGAUAUUAGAUAGUAAAAAAUAACUGAUACCGAUAUAUCGGACUGAUGAUUAUAUAUAUAUUUUUUAAAGGACUCACAGUGAUUUAAAAUAUGUUGUUAUCGAACCCUAAUGAAGAAGAAACGUAAUCACAUGUUUGCUCGAUGAUUAUAAACAAAAUUGUUCAUAUCAACAUUUUAUAACCGAGACAUUUGACUAGUAUCUGUGACUCAGUUAAAAUCAAAGCGCUGUUGUCCCAAAGCGCCAAGCACAGUUUUUUGAACUCACAUGGACGUCGGAGGUCAGAUGUGUUGAUCAAACACAGUUUGUAUGUCAGGUAUAACAAAUCAGUGUCAACUUCACCUUCAAAUCGAUUUCAUUAUUAUUUACAGUGUCUGUGAUGACCUACAAUGGUGGAACAACAACCCCCCGAUCCUGUGUUCAUUACAGCACAACAUUCAGCCUCCAACGAAACUGUAAGUGAGGCUGAUGCAACAACAAAAAGCAGAUUUUUGUUUGUUCUUCAUGUAUCUUUGAUUCCAUACAUGCGUUAAUAUGUGUGUAGGUGUGUGUGUGUGUGUGUGUGUGUGUGUGGUAAAGGGGUUGCCAGAGCAGAAAGGGCAACCCCCUCCGUCCUCUUCAGGGGGCCGAGUGGGCGGACGGUCCAGAUGGAUUACUGCUGCUGCUGCACCUCACAAACCUGAAACACACAAAUGGAACAUAAUGAAUGGAAAAAUAAGAAAGUACAAAUAAUGAAUGAUAAAUGAUGAAUAUCAAAUAAUACAUGUAAAAAAUAAUAA